AUUGAACGCUGGCGGAAUGCUUUACACAUGCAAGUCGAACGGUAGAGGGGGCAACCCCUCGAGAGUGGCGAACGGGUGAGUAAUAUAUCGGAACGCGCCCAGUCGUGGGGGAUAACGUAGCGAAAGUUACGCUAAUACCGCAUACGAUCUAAGGAUGAAAGCGGGGGAUCGCAAGACCUCGCGCGAUUGGAGCGGCCGAUAUCAGAUUAGGUAGUUGGUGGGGUAAAGGCUCACCAAGCCAACGAUCUGUAGCUGGUCUGAGAGGACGACCAGCCACACUGGAACUGAGACACGGUCCAGACUCCUACGGGAGGCAGCAGUGGGGAAUUUUGGACAAUGGACGCAAGUCUGAUCCAGCCAUCCCGCGUGCAGGAUGAAGGCCCUCGGGUUGUAAACUGCUUUUGUACGGAACGAAAAGGUCUCUCUUAAUACGGGGGGCUCAUGACGGUACCGUAAGAAUAAGCACCGGCUAACUACGUGCCAGCCGCCGCAGUAA
rnacentral:rRNA from 1 species